UACGGAGGGUGCAAGCGUUAUCCGGAUUCACUGGGUUUAAAGGGUGUGUAGGCGGGUAUUUAAGUCAGUGGUGAAAUCUCCAGGCUCAACCUGGAAACUGCCAUUGAUACUAUUUACCUUGAAUUCUGUUGAGGUGGGCGGAAUACAUCAUGUAGCGGUGAAAUGCUUAGAUAUGAUGUAGAACACCAAUUGCGAAGGCAGCUCACUAAACAGACAUUGACGCUGAGGCACGAAAGCGUGGGGAUCAAACAGGA
rnacentral:rRNA from 1 species